ensembl:snRNA U6 U6 spliceosomal RNA
GUGCUCACUUUGGCAGCAUAUAUACUAAAAGUGGAACAAUACAAAGAUUAGCAUGAUCCCCACAAGGAUGACAUGCAAAACUGUAAAUUGUUCUAUAUUUUA